GAUUCUGCAAGUGUCUUUGGCUACAGUCAAGCGACGCAUGAAGAGGUUCAAUUUGAAUUGCUCUGUGACAUAUUCUGAUGUAACUGAUGAUGCCCUUGAUGACAUGAUCAAAGAUAUUGUGGCUGGGAAUGAUCAGCUUGGAUCUGAGGCUGUCAGGGCACAGUUACGGGCAGAUGGAGCACGGGUGCAGAGAGACAGAGUGAGAAAGAGUUUAAUUCGAACAAGCCCCA